AAAAACAUCUCAUUUCGUUUGGCGGGAGAUACUAUUGAGAAAACACGUUUUCCUUCGAUUAGGGUAGUUAGGCACAGGUCAGCUUUUUCUCUGGCUGACGGCACGCCUGGAUUGACCAGUGAAAGUUUUCCAAGCGGCUACCGAAUUAGUUGUGGGUCGGGGUCAUGUUUUUUUAAGCUGCUUUGGCUAACCACA
ensembl:ncRNA F22A3.15 ncRNA